GCGAGAGUGGCGGAAUGGGUAGACGCACUGGAUUUAGGUUCCAGCGCCGCAAGGCGUGGGGGUUCGAGUCCCUUCUCUCGCACCA
rnacentral:tRNA from 1 species